rnacentral:rRNA from 1 species
AAUCAACGCUGGCGGCGUGCCUCAGACAUGCAAGUCGAACGAUUAAACUUUCCUUCGGGAAAGAUAUAAAGUGGCGCACGGGUGAGUAACACGUAAGUAAUCUACCUUCGAGUGGGGAAUAACGUCCGGAAACGGACGCUAAUACCGCAUAAUGCAGCGGCACCUAAUGGUGACAGUUGUUAAAGAUUUAUCGCUUGAAGAGGAGCUUGCGGCAGAUUAGCUAGUUGGUAAGGUAAUGGCUUACCAAGGCUACGAUCUGUAACCGGUCUAAGAGGACGGUCGGUCACACUGACACUGAAUAACGGGUCAGACUCCUACGGGAGGCAGCAGUCGGGAAUUUUGGGCAAUGGGCGAAAGCCUGACCCAGCAACGCCGCGUGAAGGAUGAAGUAUUUCGGUAUGUAAACUUCGAAAGAAUGGGAAGAAUCAAUGACGGUACCAUUUAUAAGGUCCGGCUAACUACGUGCCAGCCGCCGCAGUAAAAC